rnacentral:tRNA from 1 species
GACUGGAUAGCCAGCUAGUAGUAAAGGCAUCACAUUGACAAUGCUGAGGUCCAAGGUUCAAAUCCUGGUCUAGUCA